rfam:Gossypium raimondii chromosome 6, whole genome shotgun sequence.
AGACCAUGAUGAUGGCACUUUCUUAAAAGAUCUUUAAAUCUUUCCCAUGUGUCAUAAAGUGUCUUAGGCUCAAUUGGGAAAAAGAAGAGAUAUCAUUCCUCAACUU